UCUGAACAUCGAGGAAGCAAGAAGCAAGCAAAAUAAAUGGAACUUCACUGUCAGUUAAUGAUGUAUAAUAAUGGUACAUUAUUGUACUGGCAGUGUAAGAAAAAGGCUGUGCCUCGAUUUCACAAUAGAUCUUAACUGAAAAGGAAGCAAAAUAAAGAAACAGGUGGCAUUCAGAGCAUAAAAAAUGAACCCUCAGAUGAAGAGUCAAAAAAAAGUGACACAUAUUACUGCAAAAAUACAAACAAUAUCCAACCAGAAUGUUUCUAAAUGCUCAGAACUUCAGUUCUGUAACAUACUGGACUAACUUUCCUCUUUUGAUUAAGGAUUCAGAAAUUCCAGAAAUUCCACAAAAAAUCCCUUCUCGUCUGAGCGCACAAGAUGGCAGACAGCAAAGUCUUCCAGCUUUCUGCCUCCAGUGAAAGGUGGGAAAUCACCAAAUCAGCCCAUGAAAGCGUGAACCAGCAUUGGAAACAGUGACGAAACCAAGUUCUGACUGGUGCCCACACACUGUGAUGGAGAGAAGAUCGUGAUGUAUGUAAGUUUACAGUUUGUCACAUUUCAGCUGAGUAGGAAUUGGCUCUGAAGGUCCUCACUAAAAGUUGUUACAGGCAACCUAUUUUCAGCUGUACAUUAUGUGUGUGUGUGUGUGUGUGUGUGUGUGUGUGUGUGUGUGUGUGUGUGUGUGUAUAUAUAUAUAUAUAUAUCUUAAAAAUAUAUUCUCCAGCAACGCCUUCUCCACAGAACAGACGAGUUGUUGUGUUUGGCAGGAUUUUAUGUAGGAAAAUAUGCAAUUUGUGGAAGGAUUAAGAGGACUCCAACCCUGAGAUGCUCACUAUGUGUCCGUGAAGGAAAAUGAGCUCCUGAAUGCUACUUCUUGUUUUUUCUGAACGUUCUCUAUUAGCUCACAUCCUCUUCUGUCCAGCUUCAUGCAAUCACCACUAGAUGCCAUUAAAGAGCCUACGAAAGAAACACUAUGCUGAAUCCAAUACAGAAGGGGUUUCUGAUGAGCAGAAACUGGUUCUGAAUGGGUUUCUGAUGAGCAGAAACUGGUUCUGAGUGAGUCUCUGUUUACACAGAUGUUUUGAGAAAGUUUAACAGACCUUCAGCAUGACAGCUUCAGAGGAUCCGAAGAGAAGUUGGGUCUCCAGGGCUCGCAUCCGGAGCAGCCUCUCCAAUUUGGGGAAUUUCGCCAGACACAGGUAGGAGAUGUGGUACAGCAGGGAGACCUGCUGAGACGAUGGGAGGAGCUCCUCAAUGAACCCUGAGCUCCAUACAGAGGUGGCUGGCACAACCUCUGUGAUUUCCACAAAAUGAAUGUAAAUAAUUUCACUAUAAAGUUGGUUAAACAAGCAUUAAUUUGUGGUUGGAUACAUCAAAUGACUGGUAUUGUUUUACUUACAACCUGAGGAAGAAGCAGCUUAGAGUGUGUGUGUGUGUGUGUGUGUGUGUGACUUGCCUUUGCUGUUAGCCAUUGUGUUUAAAGUCAGGGGGGUUCUGUGUUUUCCUAAAGAUCAAUAAAAAUAUUUUACAGCAGUGCUUAGAAACGCAUUGUUCACUAAAUAUAAGUUUUGAAAGUGAAUAAAUAAAACAGAGAGGAUCUUACCUGUAGAGCUGUGUGGACUGCGCUUCUUACAGAUGUUCAGUGCAGUUUCGUUUUUAUAUGUAAUGACACCGAAAGAAAGGGCCAGGUAAAGACCAAAAGAUGAGGCUGUCCAAGGGUUUGACAAGAAGCGUGGUCAGUAAACAGGCGUGGUCCAGAUCCAAUCAGCAAAAAGGUACAGAAUGGCAACCGUAACCAGGUGGGGUUAGGAGGGCAAAGACAAAAGGGGAAAACCAGAAAUCCAGAAAAUCAGUCCAAACACGAAAAAGGCAACCACACAAACGCACACUGGAGAAGUUUGCCCUGAACGAGGACUUGAUGACUGCAGUAGUUCUACAAGAGAAGCAGUACUUCAGGAGUGCUGAUUGGAGAACGAGGGGAGAGCAGGUGACCUCUCAGAGGAUUCUAGCUGGAGGGAUGUGUAACAUUAUACUUUAAAUGGCCCACCUGAUUUGAGAAAUAUGUGAAUAUCCGCACAUGCUUGAGACCAUCUGAACCAAAUAAAUUAAUCUUGGUCUCAUCAGACCAUAGGACGUGGUUCCAGUAAUCCAUGUCCUUUGUUGACGUCUUCAGCAACUGUUUGCGGGCUUUCUUGUGUACGGACUUCAGAAGAGGCUUCCUUCCGGGGUGACAGCCAUGCAGACCAAUUUGAUGUAGUGUGCGGCGUAUGGUCUGAGGACUGACAGGCAGACCCCCCACCUCUUCAAUCUCUGCAUCUAUCUUUCAAAGACAACAUUUGGAUGUGACGCUGAGCACGUGCACUCAGCUUCUUUGGACGACCAACACGAGGUCUGUUCUGAGUGGACCCUGCUCUUUUAAAUCGCUGGAUGAUCUUGGCCACUCUGCUGCAGCUCAGUUUCAGGGUGUUGGCAAUCUUCUUGUAGCCUUGGCCAUCUUCAUGUAGCGCAACAAUUCGUCUUUUAAGAUCCUCAGAGA
ensembl:lncRNA